GUUUUUGGUCAAUGUUGGUAGAAACUUGAAGUUUACAAAUAAACUUGAUGUUUUCGGUCAAAGUUGAUGUUUUUGGUCAAAGUUGGUAGAAUCUUGAAGUUUACAACCAAAGUUGAUGUUUUCGGUCAAAGUUGAUGUUUUCGGUCAAAGUUGAUGUUUUUGGUCAAUGUUGGUGGAAACUUGAAGUUUGCGACAAAAGUUGAUGUUUUCGGUCAAAGUUGAUGUUUUUGGUCAAUGUUGGUAGAAACUUGAAGUUUGCGACCAAAGUUGAUGUUUUCGGUCAAAGUUGAUGUUUUUGGUCAAAGUUGGUUGAAACUUGAAGUUUACAACCAAAGUUGAUGUUUUCGGUCAAAGUUGAUGUUUUUGGUCAAUGUUGGUGGAAACUUGAAGUUUGCGACCAAAGUUGAUGUUUUCGGUCAAAGUUGAGGUUUUUGGUCAAUGUUGGUGGAAACUUGAAGUUUGCGACCAAAGUUGAUGUUUUCGGUCAAAGUUGAUGUUUUGGUCAAAGUUGGUUGAAACUUGAAGUUUACAACCAAAGUUGAUGUUUUCGGUCAAAGUUGAUGUUUUUGGUCAAUGUUGGUGGAAACUUGAAGUUUGCGACCAAAGUUAAUGUUUUCGGUCAAAGUUGAUGUUUUUGGUCAAUGUUGGUGGAAACUUGAAGUUUGCGACCAAAGUUGAUGUUUUCGGUCAAAGUUGUUGUUUUUGGUCAAUGUUGGUAGAAACUUGAAGUUUGCCACCAAAUUUGAUGUUUUCGGUCAAAGUUGAUGUUUUUGGUCAAUGUUGGUGGAAUCUUGAAGUUUACAACCAAAGUUGAUGUUUUCGGUCAAAGUUGAUGUUUUCGGUCAAUGUUGGUGGAAACUUGAAGUUUGCGUCCAAAGUUGAUGUUUUCGGUCAAAGUUGAUGUUUUCGGUCAAAGUUGGUGGAAACUUGAAGUUUGCGACAAAAGUUGAUGGUUUCGGUCAAAGUUGAUGUUUUUGGUCAAUGUUGGUGGAAACUUGAAGUUUGCGACCAAAGUUGAUGUUUUCGGUCGAAGUUGAUGUUUUUGGUCAAUGUUGGUGGAAACUUGAAGUUUACAACUAAAGUUGAUGUUUUCUGUCAAAGUCGAUGUUUUUGGUCAAUGUUGGUGGAAACUUGAAGUUUAAGACCAAAGUUGAUGUUUUCGGUCAAAGUUGAUGUUUUUGGUCAAAGUUGGUAGAAACUGGAAGUUUGCGACCAAAGUUUAUGUUUUUUGUCAAAGUUGAUGUUUUUGGUCAAAGUUGAUGUUUUUGGUCAAUGUUGGUGGAAACUUGAAGUUUACAACCAAAGUUGAUGUUUUCGGUCAAAGUUGAUGUUUUUGGUAAAAGUUGAUAAAAUCUUGAAGUUUACAACCAAAGUUGAUGUAUUCGGUCAAAGUUGAUGUUUUCGGUCAAAGUUGAUGUUUUCGGUCAAAGUUGGUGGAAACUUGAAAUUUGCGACCAAAGUUGAUGUUUUCGGUCAAAGUUGAUGUUUUUGGUCAAUGUUGGUGGAAACUUGAAGUUUGCGACCAAAGUUGAUGUUUUCGGUCAAAGUUGUUGGUUUCGGUCAAUGUUGGUGGAAACCUGAAGUUUGCGACCAAAGUUGAUGUUUUCGGUCAAAGUUGAUGUUUUUGGUCAAUGUUGGUGGAAACUUGAAGUUUACAACCAAAGUUGAUGUUUUCGGUCAAAGUUGAUGUUUUUGGUCAAAGAUGGUGGAAACUUGAAGUUUGCGACCAAAGUUGAUGUUUUCGGUCAAAGUUGAUGUUUUUGGUCAAAGUUGGUAGAAUCUUGAAGUUUACAACCAAAGUUGAUGUUUUCGGUCAAAGUUGAUGUUUUCGGUCAAAGUUGAUGUUUUCGGUCAAAGUUGAUGUUUUCGGUCAAAGUUGAUGUUUUCGGUCAAAGUUGAUGUUUUUGGUCAAUGUUGGUGGAAACUUGAAGUUUACAACCAAAGUUGAUGUUUUCGGUCAAUGUGGCUGUUUUUGGUCAAUGCUGGUGGAAACUUGAAGUUUGCGACCAAAGUUGAUGUAUUCGGUCAAAGUUGAUGUUUUUGGUCAAUGUUGGUGGAAACUUGAAGUUUACAACCAAAGUUGAUGUUUUCGGUCAAAGUUGAUGUUUUUGGUCAAUGUUGGUGGAAACUUGAAGUUUGCGACCAAAGUUGAUGUUUUCGGUCAAAGUUGAUGUUUUUGGUCAAUGUUGGUGGAAACUUGAAGUUUGCGACCAAAGUUGAUGUUUUCGGUCAAAGUUGAUGUUUUUGGUCAAUGUUGGUGGAAACUUGAAGUUUACAACCAAAGUUGAAGUUUUCGGUCAAAGUUGUUGUUUUUGGUCAAUGUUGGUGCAAACUUGAAGUUUGCGACCAAAUUUGAUGUUUUCGGUCAAAGUUGAUGUUUUUGGUCAAUGUUGGUGGAAACUUGAAGUUUACAACCAAAGUUGCUGUUUUCGGUCAAAGUUGAUGUUUUUGGUCAAUGUUGGUGGAAACUUGAAGUUUGCGACCAAAGUUGAUGUUUUCGGUCAAAGUUGAUGUUUUUGGUCAAUGGGGCACAUCACGGUUUAAGUUAGAAAGCUUAAGCUGUAAGCCGGCAUCUGUCAGAUAAUCAAGCAGAUAUCGAGCAGUGAAAAGGUACCGGGUUGUAUCAUUAAGAACAACAUAAUGUAUUUUUUACUGAACCAAAAUAUGACGAAAUUAAAUUUGAGUUUGAAAUUUGGAUCUGAAUGGUAAACGCAACGGUAUUAAUCAAAGUUAAGUACUGCUUGAUGCACAAAAGGUUAGGUUGGAUGCUGCUGUUGUAUGAUAAAGAAU